UACGGGGGGAGCAAGCGUUGUUCGGAUUUACUGGGCGUAAAGGGCGCGUAGGCAGCCACCGCAAGUCGACUGUGAAAUCUCCGGGCUUAACCCGGAAAGGUCAGCCGAUACUGCGGGGCUAGAGUGCAGAAGGGGCAACUGGAAUUCUCGGUGUAGCGGUGAAAUGCGUAGAUAUCGAGAGGAACACCUGCGGCGAAGGCGGGUUGCUGGGCUGACACUGACGCUGAGGCGCGAAAGCCAGGGGAGCAAACGGG
rnacentral:rRNA from 1 species